rnacentral:rRNA from 1 species
CAGGCCUAACACAUGCAAGUCGAGCGGAGAUGAGGUGCUUGCACCUUAUCUUAGCGGCGGACGGGUGAGUAAUACUUAGGAAUCUGCCUAUUAGUGGGGGACAACAUCUCGAAAGGGAUGCUAAUACCGCAUACGCCCUACGGGGGAAAGCAGGGGAUCUUCGGACCUUGCGCUAAUAGAUGAGCCUAAGUCGGAUUAGCUAGUUGGUGGGGUAAAGGCCUACCAAGGCGACGAUCUGUAGCGGGUCUGAGAGGAUGAUCCGCCACACUGGGACUGAGACACGGCCCAGACUCCUACGGGAGGCAGCAGUGGGGAAUAUUGGACAAUGGGGGGAACCCUGAUCCAGCCAUGCCGCGUGUGUGAAGAAGGCCUUUUGGUUGUAAAGCACUUUAAGCGAGGAGGAGGCUACUGGUAUUAAUACUACUGGAUAGUGGACGUUACUCGCAGAAUAAGCACCGGCUAACUCUGUGCCAGCAGCCGCGGUAAU